rnacentral:rRNA from 1 species
GAUGAACGCUGGCGGCGUGCCUAAUACAUGCAAGUCGAGCGAACGGACGAGAAGCUUGCUUCUCUGAUGUUAGCGGCGGACGGGUGAGUAACACGUGGAUAACCUACCUAUAAGACUGGGAUAACUUCGGGAAACCGGAGCUAAUACCGGAUAAUAUUUUGAACCGCAUGGUUCAAAAGUGAAAGACGGUCUUGCUGUCACUUAUAGAUGGAUCCGCGCUGCAUUAGCUAGUUGGUAAGGUAACGGCUUACCAAGGCAACGAUGCAUAGCCGACCUGAGAGGGGGGACCGGCACCACGGGACCUAGGCACCGGCCAGGCCUCCGAGGGGGGGCAGAGGGGGGGAUUCUCCCGAAGGGGGCGAAAGCCUGCGGGAGCACCGCCGGGGGAGUGAGAAGGGUCUCGGGAUCGAAAACCUUUUUUAUGGGGAAAAAACAUAUGUGUAAGAAAUGGUGAACUUUUGGAGGGAACCAAAAAAAAAGGCCAGGCCAACCUCCGU